CAAUAGCGUAUAUUAAAGUUGUUGCAGUUAAAAAGCUCGUAGUUGGAUUUCUUGGAGGGUGCCAAUGUCCGCUACGGCGUGCGCAGCGGCGCCCUCUCAUCCUUCUGUUAGCGUCUCUUGGCAUUCAUUUGCUGGUGGCGGGCUCAGAUAUUUUACCUUGAGAAAAUUAGAGUGUUUCAGGCAGGCUAGGCCGGAAUACAUUAGCAUGGAAUAAUAGAAUAGGACUACGGUCUCUUUGUUGGUUUGAGGGACUGCAGUAAUGAUUAAUAGGGAUAGUUGGGGGCAUUAGUACUUAACUGUCAGAGGUGGAAUUCUCAGAUUUGUUAAAGACUGACUUAUGCGAAAGCAUUUGCCAAGGAUGUUUUCAUUAA
rnacentral:rRNA from 1 species